AUUGAACGCUGGCGGCAGGCCUAACACAUGCAAGUCGAACGAGUGGCGGACGGGUGAGUAAUGUCUGGGAAACUGCCCGAUGGAGGGGGAUAACUACUGGAAACGGUAGCUAAUACCGCAUACCAUCGGAUGUGCCCAUAUGGGAUUAGCUAGUAGGUGGGGUAAAGGCUCACCUAGGCGACGAUCCCUAGCUGGUUUGAGAGGACGAUCAGCCACACUGGGACUGAGACACGGCCCAGACUCCUACGGGAGGCAGCAGUGGGGAAUUUUGGACAAUGGGGGAAAGCCUGAUACAGCCAUGCCGCGUGUAUGAAGAAGGCCUUCGGGUUGUAAAGCACUUUCGGCGGGAAAGCGGUACCUGCAGAAUAAGCACCGGCUAACUCCGUGCCAGCAGCCGCGGUAAUAC
rnacentral:rRNA from 1 species